UUGAUUAGCCUCUGAUGAAGCCUACAUUGGUAGAGAUAUCUGAGAGUGCUGAUGAAUGCCGACCCCUUUGAUGGAAAAAA